rnacentral:rRNA from 1 species
UAUCAUGCAGUCGAGCGAACGGACGAGUAGUGCUUGCACUCUCUGAAGUUAGCGGCGGACGGGUGAGUAACACGUUGGGUUAACCUACCUAUAAGACUGGGAUAACUUCGGGAAACCGGAGCUAAUACCGGAUAAUAUUUAGCUUCGCAUGAAGCAAUAGUGAAAGACGGUUCUGCUGUCACUUAUAGAUGGACCCGCGGUGUAUUAGCUAGUUGGUGAGGUAACGGCUCACCAAGGCAACGAUACAUAGCCGACCUGAGAGGGUGAUCGGCCACACUGGGACUGAGACACGGCCCAGACUCCUACGGGAGGCAGCAGUAGGGAAUCUUCCGCAAUGGACGAAAGUCUGACGGAGCAACGCCGCGUGAGCGAAGAAGGUCUUCGGAUCGUAAAGCUCUGUUGUCAGGGAAGAACAAGUACCGUUCGAACAGGGCGGUACCUUGACGGUACCUGACGAGGAAGCCACGGCUAACUACGUGCCAGCAGCCGCGGUAAU